UCUGCCAGCCUCAGUCUCAGUAAAGCCGCACAAAAGAAGUGAAUGAAGAAACCAGCGGGGUCAGGUUUCAAAUGAGCCAAUUAGACAUGUGGGGGUAAACCCUGUGAAUCAUUUGUAGGGAGGGGGUCAGGGUGGCACAGAGAUAAGUCAGAGUGCUGGAGAGGGGAAAGAGCAAGAUAACAGAGGGCUUCCUGCUCUGGAGGUGAACCCCAACCGCCCCAGUCCCCUUAUCUCAAAGCGCUCAGAUAGCACUUCCCCAGGGCUAAGAGGAAGUUUCUUGAAAACUUCCCGGGUACCUGGGGAGAGUUAGUCAUGCAUAUUACGGAUCUCUUGCGCUGAAGUUUCUGGUUUAAUAGAGCCAGCUAGCCCCUGGCUACGGGCAGCCUCCACCUGACUGGAGGACGCCAGAGGAGGCGGGGAAGGUGAGCGGGCCCUCUCUGAAGGAGACUGAUGGUCUAGACAGAUGAAGAGGCUCUGUGCACCACGCCAGGGCUCCACACUCUCCCGUCACAAUCAAAUGUUCCAUCAGAGGACAAGGGUCAGAGGGUAAAAGGUCACACUGCCCCAGCCUCUGAAACAUAGGAAGCAAAGCAGGACAAAGGGGCCCUAGACAGGGGGAGGAGGAGUUAAGAGUGGGAAUGAGGAGGCCAAGGGCAAAAGUGUUCCCUGGUGUCCCGGGGGGACAACAGGAAGUCAAGAUUUGCUGGUCUUCCUCUGGGGGGACCUCAUUGUCUCCAGCCAGACCCAAGAAUCACAGAAUUGAAAGGGGCACAAGAGGUUAACCUUGCGGUGCUUAACUGUGAGAGGAGACAGCUGGAAGGGUCCCAACGGGGUCACGGAGGACCGACCCUGUGCCUGCUACGCUGGAAACGGAGAGACAAGGAAGUUAAGCAACUUGCGUAAACUCACACAGCCGGUAAACAGGGGAGCUGGGAUCUGAACCCAGAUGGUCGGGAUCCAGAGCCGUGUGCACACACACACCAACCCCAUUGUGCUCUCUGGCUCCGGUAAGCAUUACAGGAUUAACACAGAUGUCAAACCCUAGCCGAUGGCCUCCCUGACACCUUAAUCUCAUCAACACGGUUCCAGUAAGACUAGAGAAUCAGGGAAGUUUUUACAGCAACCAGUAAGAGGAUGGCUGGAUCAGCUAAAAACUUUAUCUACCCGGGUGCCUAUUCAGCAGGGCCAGCUGAGGGGCCAGCUCCAAGGGAGCCAAAGGGCUGGUUCCCAAGGGGGUGACAGCCAGCGCUCCUGUCUCAGAAGCCAGUGUCUGACUCCGAGCCCACACUUCUCCCAGGCUGGGGAUUUUCUUCAUGCCAAGUCCAUUCGUUCUGAGGCGGUCAACGAUCUCUAGUGGGCUAAGGCAGUCCGAAUUAGCGUGAGUUUUUAGUAUGAUGAGUUGCAGACAUACAGCGGUAUCUCAAAAGUUAUCUCUGACGGUUUUGUUUGUUUCGAUUUUCAAGUGCCGUGAGGCAGAAAAACUGUAAGCAGGCUUGCCAGGCACCUGCCAUCCUGUACCCCAGUCAGGGGUCCUGGUCUCCCCAGUUCUUCUCAUUGCCCCAUCUUUGGUCCUGUUUCCAGGAAUUAAUGUGCACAAGACACAUUAACAAAAAUGUUAUUUGGUUAGCUCAUUCAUGCUGCAAUGGAAUGAACACAGGCAUCAGAGCGAAGCAGACCCAGGGCACUCGACUUGUGCACAGCCAGUCCUACAGGGGUGACUCUGCAGAGCCAGAAGCACAUUUCAUAUUGCUCCCUGAGCUUUCAGGGAAUCACGAUUCAAGCAGUUUUACCACCAAAGGCCUACCGGCGUUCGGAUAUACGCUUUGGAACAAAGUCUUUCUUUGUAAUUACUCCAUGGAAGCUAAAAGUAACUGAUUUCAGGACCUACGGUGUCAAAAGAAGUUGAUAUAACUGUGUGUGACCAAAUACAUUUAUUUUAUCAUCAUUUGCCGACUUGACAUUUCUGAAGACAUUUACCUCCUGGUUUUGGUGAACGAAGCGCUAUCGUUUUUCGGUUCGUCUCCUUCCUACGUCACGAUCUACCUCACAUCUAACUCGUUCAUAGCAUGCUGAUAAAAUGAGUCACAACCAUCAAAGAAAAGGGAUCCGCUGGAACGGAGGCUUUCGUCACGCGAUAAAGGAACCAUGCCACUCUUGGUUUGACUACUCAGAGGGGUAAUAUCAUCGGCAGUUCUUGAUAAGGUGACACAAGUGAGGACAGACGUGAUGUUCAGCUGUUUCUGAGCAACAUCAAGCAGGACACAUUUAGGUUUUUCUGGAUUUUAGUUACCCAAGGCCCUGAAGGUAGAUCACAUGUCUUGGCCAUCUUCUUAUCGCCCAGGGAGAACCCAGACUUCGGAGGGAAUGCAGGAGUUGAGAGUGCAGGAGAUCAGAGACCAUUCGGGCUAAUCCCUGUCCUACAGCUGGGGAAACCGAGGGCCAGAGAAGAGUAACUCAGCCCUUAAGCUUUGGCAGAAUAGAGGAUUGGAGCCUGCUCUCCCGACUCCAGAAUCCCGCCCUUUCAAAAAUGUCAUCUAAGCUGA